ACGAGUUGUGCGCCGCAGACCCGCUACCGCCCCCCUCCCCUGGGUGAGUGGGAGGACAGGGAAACUAGAGAGCAAAGGUAUGACCCUACAAUGGUCUCUUCUGUUUCCUUAUUGUUUCGUACAGGAAUUUCAGAAAGCGGACCUAAGAGCAUUUGGAAACACACUUAAGAACAACCUGGGUUCAAAAAAGAAUCUGGGUUAGUAUCUGUAAGGUACCAGAAUCUGUGCCCGAGCAGUACACUUAAUUCAUGUUCAACUUGGGAUAUUUUCCCGUGAUCGCACCAGGCCUUGAGGAUGGAGGCGCAUGAAACACUCAGACCCUGCCUUCUAGCUCCCAGUCUAGUGGGAAAAAUUGGUAUGCUUAGCACUAACAAAACUGUAAGACAUUGGGAUAUUAACAUAGAUAUAAAUCUCACCUGUGAAAUGGAAUUUAGCUGCAUAUUUCCAACACUCUGGGGUAAUGGGAAAAGUAAACAGAAAUGGUCAUAAAUGAUAAUACAGGGCAAUUUAUGCUAUGAUAAAAAUACGUACAUUUUUCUCAGGGAGUGAGAGUGGUUUAACCGGGAGAGAGACCUUUUUUUUUUUUGAAAAAAAGCAGCUUAGAGUCACAGGUGUGUGUACUAAAGGACACGCAGCUGGGAUGUACAAAACUGGGAUGUAGGGGAGUGCUGAGGAGGCUUGUCAGAUUUUAGGAGUGAGGCAGGGAAGUCAACUGCCAGAACAGUUCAAAUGUACAGUGCAGAAGAUUGCUCUGCCCACCCUCAAAGUUGCUGAGAGGGUCAAACAAGAUAGCAUAUAUCUGAGAACUCUGAAUACAGAAAGGGUCAUACAAUUACAAGAUAAUCAUUAUUACUCUCACAACUUUAUCACCAUUUAAGCCAAGAAGGCAGGAAUACUGAUUCUCAGACUAAAAUUUGAAUUAUGUUUAUUGUUAUAUGUUUAUUAUGCUUGGAUUAUGUUUGUUUCCCUUUUAAGUUUUUGGUUCAAACUGAAAAACAGAUACAACUAGGCCUGUGUAGUACAGCCCAUUAAAA